AUAAAGCUAGGUUACCGGAGUUA
rnacentral:miRNA from 3 species